rnacentral:rRNA from 1 species
AAACCAGCACCUCAAGUGGUCAGGAGGAUUAUUGGGCCUAAAGCAUCCGUAGCCUGUUCUGUAAGUUUUCGGGUAAAUCCACUAGCUCAACUAGUGGGCUGCCGAAAAUACUGUAGAACUAGGGAGUGGGAGAGGUAGACGGUAUUCGGUAGGAAGGGGUAAAAUCCUUUGAUCUAUUGAGGACCACCUGUGGCGAAGGCGGUCUACCAGAACACGUUCGACGGUGAGGGAUGAAAGCUGGGGGAGCAAACCGGAUUAGAUACCCGAGUAGUCC